UAGGGAAUCUUCGGCAAUGGACGGAAGUCUGACCGAGCAACGCCGCGUGAGUGAAGAAGGUUUUCGGAUCGUAAAGCUCUGUUGUAAGAGAAGAACGAGUGUGAGAGUGGAAAGUUCACACUGUGACGGUAUCUUACCAGAAAGGGACGGCUAACUACGUGCCAGCAGCCGCGGUAAUACGUAGGUCCCGAGCGUUGUCCGGAUUUAUUGGGCGUAAAGCGAGCGCAGGCGGUUAGAUAAGUCUGAAGUUAAAGGCUGUGGCUUAACCAUAGUAGGCUUUGGAAACUGUUUAACUUGAGUGCAAGAGGGGAGAGUGGAAUUCCAUGUGUAGCGGUGAAAUGCGUAGAUAUAUGGAGGAACACCGGCGGCGAAAGCGGCUCUCUGGCUUGUAACUGACGCUGAGGCUCGAAAGCGUGGGGAGCAAACAGGAUUAGAUACCCUGGUAGUCCACGCUGUAAACGAUGAGUGCUAGGUGUUAGACCCUUUCCGGGGUUUAGUGCCGUAGCUAACGCAUUAAGCACUCCGCCUGGGGAGUACGACCGCAAGGUU
rnacentral:rRNA from 1 species